rnacentral:piRNA from 1 species
UUUUUUGAGCUUUUUUGUGUU